CUGUUAAAGUCACAAAAGUUGUUUUUUUUUUUUGGAACAACAGAUCGAAGUUCUCCAAGAUGACUAUACUCCUUGCGAAAUUCACCACCCCUGAAAUAGCAAAAAAGAUAAAUAAAAUGUAAAUAAAUAAACUGACGUUCUUCUUACUGCAUUAAUUGAAGCAUACACACAUCUCCUUCUUUCCAUUUCGCAACAACCAAUCUAUUUGUGAAGUGUUUUAAUUAUUGGUUUUUCAAUGAAAUUUUAUAGUUUUUAUUUUAUUUUUUUUUUUUUUUUUAAAUCUGUUAACCCUUUUGCUGCCAGGUGUUUUUCAGGAUUGCAUUUCAUAUGCCAGAAAAUACUACCACUCAACAUUAGUGACGUUACAUGUCAAACAGUGACUUCAUACCGUAAUGACCGUUACAUUGAAAGCCAAUUGAUG
rnacentral:lncRNA from 1 species